rnacentral:rRNA from 1 species
UACAGAGGUCCCGAGCGUUGUUCGGAUUCACUGGGCGUAAAGGGUGCGUAGGUGGUGAGGUAAGUCGGAUGUGAAAUCUCCGGGCUUAACCCGGAAAUGGCAUUGGAAACUACCUUGCUAGAGGAUUUGAGGGGGGAUUGGAAUACUUGGUGUAGCAGUGAAAUGCGCAGAUAUCAGGAGGAACACCGGUGGCGAAGGCGGGUCUCUGGGCCGUAACUGACGCUGAGGAGCGAAAGCAUGGGGAGCGAACAGG